UGCAUCGGCCGGGAAUCGAAUCCGGGCCGUCCGCGUUGCAGGCGAUCAUUUUACCACUGAACCAUCGAUGC
rnacentral:tRNA from 1 species